GGAAAAUCAAAACCGAUCCAUAACUAAUGGCUCCACCGCUUUCUCUCACCUUUCUCGGCGAUCCCUCCGCCAGCUCCGACGCCCUCUCCUAAAGGCGAGCAUGGUGGCCUUCUUUGUCUGGACCUGAUCAUGGCCUUCAACAUCGGCGCACCAAGGAGCCUCACUAACGCUGCAGAGGAGGGCGUCCCUUCACAACGGCAACAGGACGAUGCAUCGCUCGUCCAUAUGACAUGCUACAUACGUGCCGUGCUUUUUCAUUUUGAGUUUCACAUGCUUCGUACGUGUAUGUACUACGUAGUCAUCCUGUUUUUUUUCAACAACCAAUUCUUGCUUCCCUAA